ACCCCGGUGGCUGUGGGGGUCAUGUUUCUUAGGUUAGGUUAGGUUAGGUUAGGUUAGGUUAGGUUAGGUUAGGUUAGGUUAGGUUAGGUUAGGUUAGGUUAGGUUAGGUUAGGUUGGGUUAGGUUAGGUUAAAGGCCCCUCUAAGUUAAAUUAUGAGAAAGAAUCAUCACUCACGCAAACCAUUUCAUAAUAUAUAUCAACGCAUGUGUGAUCUGUUUAUGCAUCAUCUAUUUUGGGAGGUUUAUAUCAUGGCAGAAAUUUGGGCCGUCGCUGCUACACGGUAAAGCCACAAAUUUGGCCCGUCGCUGCUACACGGUAAAGCCACAAAUUUGGCCCGUCGCUGCUCCCGGAGACAAAAAAGAAACUAAACAAAAAGCGAAAGUAAUUACAAGUUCUCCACGGAGCUUGCCAAGAGGAUGAGAGGAAGAAAAAUAAACAGUGCAGAAGAGGAAAUAAAGAGAAGAAACGAAAGAGUACGUAAUAGGAAAGAAAAUAAUGAGGGAAAGGAGAAUAAGAAAGAGAGACAAAAUAAACAUGAAGAAAUGGAAGAAAAAUGGGAAGAAUAAUAAAAAGACAGGAAUAAAGAAGGAACAGGAAAAAAUAAUUAAAAAAUUGAUAAGAUGAAAAAAAAAGUAAUGAAGGAUAAAUAAAGAGGGGAAGAAAAUAAGGAUGAAAAGAGUGAUAGGAAAGGAGACAAGAAGGAAAAUUUUGGAGUAACAGGAAAACAGAUGUAGAGAGAUAAAAGGAAAAUGGAAGAAUGUAAAUGAAAAUGAAAAUGAAAAGUUAUUGAAAAGAAAAUGAGGAAGAAGAGAGUAAUAGGGAAGGAAUGAAGUAAAAAGGAGUAUAGGAAGAUGGCGCCACUAUAAACACUUGCCUGCGCCAUGACGAGCUGGGGCCGACUACAAUCCAGGCCCCUCAAGAGACCCUACCGGCGCUAUAUGUGUUCACGUAAUAAAGAAAAAAAAUAUAGAGAGAUUAGAGUAAAUAAAAAAUGAAAAUGAAAAGAGGUUAUUUAGAGGAGAAAACAAAGGAGGAAAGAAAAGGGAAAUAAGGAAGGAUUUAAGAAGAAAAAAAUAAAGGAAAACAAAAACAAAGAUGAUAACAGAACGACAAUAAAGCGAAAGAAAGUAAAGUUGAAGGAAAAUUAAAGGAAAUAACAAAGAAGAAAAUAAGGAAGAGAAGUAACAGGGAAGGAAAGAAGGAAGGAAUGUAGCGAAGGAGGAAGAAAAAAAGAAGUUACAGGAA